rnacentral:rRNA from 1 species
GAUGAACGCUGGCGGCGUGCCUAACACAUGCAAGUCGAACGAUCACACAAGGAGCUUGCGCUCUUUGGGUUAGCGGCGGACGGGUGAGUAAUACGUGAAUAACCUGCCAUUUACUCUGGGGUAAGAUCGGGAAACCGGAUCUAAUACUGGAUAAUACAUCCAACUGCAUGGUGCAGUGGGGAAAGGGAUUUUUUGCGUUUGUUUGAGCUGCCGCGGUAUUGGCUGGUUGAUGGGGUAAAGGCCCACCAAGGCAACGAACCGUAGCCGAACUGAGAGGGUGAUCGGCCACAAUGGAGCUGGAACACGGUCCAGACUCCUACGGGAGGGAGCAGUCGGGAAUCUUAGGCAAUGGGCGCAAGCCUGACCCAGCAAGACCGCGUGAGUGAUGAAGGCCUUCUGGUAGUAAAGCCCUCUUGUUGGGAAAGAACAUCUGUGUGCUAAAAACUGGCUGUAGUGACGGUACCUAAAGAAGAAGCGCCGGCUAACUACGUG